rnacentral:rRNA from 1 species
UACGAAGGGGGCUAGCGUUGCUCGGAAUUACUGGGCGUAAAGCGCGUGUAGGCUGCCCCGCAAGUCGGAUGUGAAAGCCCUGGGCUCAACCUAGGAAGUGCAUUCGAAACUGCGGGGCUGGAGUCCUGGAGAGGAAGGCGGAAUUCUCGGUGUAGAGGUGAAAUUCGUAGAUAUCGAGAGGAACACCGGUGGCGAAGGCGGCCUUCUGGACAGUGACUGACGCUGAGACGCGAAAGCGUGGGGAGCAAACAGG